GUUGAAACGCUGGUUCACGUACGAUCAUCGUAGUUAAGCAACGUCGAGCCUGGUUAGUACCUAGAUGGGUGACCGCUUGGGAAUACCAGGUGUUC